UACGUAGGGUGCAAGCGUUAAUCGGAAUUACUGGGCGUAAAGCGUGCGCAGGCGGUUUUGUAAGUUUGUCGUGAAAUCCCCGGGCUCAACCUGGGAAUUGCGAUGGAGACUGCAAGGCUAGAAUCUGGCAGAGGGGGGUAGAAUUCCACGUGUAGCAGUGAAAUGCGUAGAGAUGUGGAGGAACACCGAUGGCGAAGGCAGCCCCCUGGGUCAAGAUUGACGCUCAUGCACGAAAGCGUGGGGAGCGAACAGG
rnacentral:rRNA from 1 species